rnacentral:tRNA from 1 species
UCCCCCUUUUCUGGUUUACAAGACCAGGGUAAUGUGCGAGUC